rnacentral:rRNA from 1 species
UACAGAAGAAGCACCGGCUAACUCCGUGCCAGCAGCCGCGGUAAUACGGAGGGUGCGAGCGUUAAUCGGAAUUACUGGGCGUAAAGCGCAUGCAGGCGGCCUGUUAAGUCAGAUGUGAAAGCCCGGGGCGUUAACCUCGGAAUUGCAUUUGUAAACUGGCAGGCUAGAGUCUUGUAGAGGGGGGUAGGAAGUUUCUAGGUGUAGCGGUGAAAUGCGUAGAGAUCUGAAGGAAUAUCAGUGGCGAAGGCGGCCCCCUCGGACAAAGACUGACGCUCAGAUGCGAAAGCGUGGGGAGCAAACAGGAUUAGAUACCCUGGUAG